UUUUUUUUUUUUUUUUUUUUUUUAACCCUCAGUGAAUGGCACAGCCAUCUACCAACUGCCCAAGCCAUUAAUGACUCCUCUCCUUCCCUCACACCUCUAGGCAUUUGUUCAGGAAGUGUGUCCCUUUCACGCACUUCUUUUGGACUUUUGUCUGAGACACAAUGGUUUUAAGCAGUGACUGAUUCUGUAACUCUUAAUUCCCUUGAACAGGUCAUUUAGUUCCUCUAAACCUUAAAUACACCCAUGGGGUAAGAAAUGCCAAGUCAGCACCUACUAUGUGUUUAGUAAAUGUUAUCUACUAUUCUUCUUUCCAGGCCCACUGCAUUUUCUCAGGAACAUCGUUUCCAGCCAGAUUGCUGCCACAACCUAUUAUCCUUGCUUCUAGUCUGGCCAGCACUCCUGUCCAUUCUCAACAAUGAAGCCAGAAUCUUCCAAUAAUGUAAAUGAGAUCAUGUCAUACACCUGCUUAAAAUCCUUUAAUGGCUCUCCAUUACCUUCAGGAUAAGACUCCAACUUCCUGGCUUGGCAUAGCACACUGUUAUCAUCCAGCCCCUCCAACACUCCAGUGCCUUUUCUUGUCACUCCUCCAACCACACACCUUGCUCCAGUCAUACGGAACUGAACGUGCAAAAACAAGCCCUGCUCUCACAAGGCACUUCUUUCACUGCCGUGUCCCAGGCCCACGUGGAAACUGCCAGAUGUCCCUAAGUCCAUUGCUAGGCUGUAGGCAACUUUAGGGAGCUUCCUAAUUCACUGUGCUGCUCCCAGUACCAAGCAUGAUCUGGCUCAUAUUAAUACCAAGUAAGUAAUAAGCGAUACUGAAUUUAACUCCCUCCCAUAUUUUAUUCUGAAGAGGAAAGCAAACAAAUGAGUUUAGGGUUGAGGAGGUACAUGAGAUUAUCCCUGCGUCCCCAAACCUGUAAUGACCUGAAAUCUUUCUAGUAACACUAAUUUUAGAAAUACCAUUGGAGGACGGAUUUGUGCGAAUUCCAGAAGCCAAACACCAAGUUGGCAUUUAUCUGCUAAUGGCAAUUUAAAUCAAUUACUGGUUUCAGCCUGUCUUCCUCUGGCCUCAAGACUACAUUCAACAACGGUUAACCUGCAGCACCAGGACUCAAGAUGAGUAAGAUGCAAAAUCCAGAAAACAAAAUGUUAUGCAGUUGGAAAUCAUUACAAAGUACCUUAAAGAAGUCACACAACAUGGAAAGGGUUGCAUGGACACAGAAACUGGCUUAAUCCUUAAUCCUGGCUCUAAUGCUCCUCUUGCUUCUUUCAUUUUUAAAAUGCUCUCCCUGGUUAUUUCCAGUGUCACCCCCCCCACCCCCACCCAGGUGCUCCUCAUACAGGUGUAUACUACGUAUUUCUAGAUAAAAUGGCCUAUGAAGUAUGCCCCUAAAAGUUGUUCAGUGUGCACCAAUCUGCACCUGCUCUGCAGUGGCCAUGAGCUCAGGACAAAUGACCAGAUGUUUCACUCACCUUAACGGUCUUAGCUGUAAGGACAUGAGCUUUUGAAAAAUGUGGGCUAGCAAGCUCUUUGUGGGCAGGUUUUCUUCAAUAUCCCUCCACAGAACAGAACCUGAGGGCCACAGACCAUUGGCAUCAAUGAAACUGCUCAAAGUGAAUGUAAAAUGUUGUGCUUUUUUAAAUAAGAGAUUUAGUAAGUUUCAUUAGCUUUUCAAAGAGGGCUAUAUCCACCCCCCAAUUUUAGAACCACUGCUAGAUGGGGAUCCCUGGGUGGCUCAGCAGUUUAGCGCCUGCUUUUGGCCCAGGGAGUGAUCCUGGAGUCCUGGGAUGAGGUCCCACAUCAGGCUCCCUGCAUGGAGCCUGCUUCUCCCUCUGCCUAUGUCUCUGCCUCUCUGUCUCUCAUGAAUAAAUACAUAAAAUCUAAAAAAGAAAACAACAACAAAAAAAACCACUGCUAGAGACCUCAGCAGAUGUUAGGCAGAUAAGUGAUGAAUAUAUACUUUGUGACAAACCCUCAGUAACUCUUAAACUAACCCCAAUUCAAAACACAAAAUAGAACCCCCGCACCUAGCACCUCUGUCAACAGAGGCAAAUCUGUCAUCUCACCAUUUGAAUUUUCUCUCCAGCAGCAAAGAAGGUAGACAAGAUGAUAUACCUGUGGGCUCCGAAGAGUUAGGUACAGACUUGUGCCUAGAGAGAAGGCUUGCCUUAAAUCACUCUAUGCAUGCAGGGUUCUGUUUUUUUGUUUUGUUUUUUUGUUUGUUUGUUUGUUUGUUUGUUUUAGGCACGCAGGUUUGAUACAGUCUAAUUCUCAAGGGCUCUAGUUUGCGGAAAUUCCACUUGGCCUAACUAGCUCAAGGUUAAAAAAAUACUCUGCAAAAUCUUGAGGUUCCCUUCAGGAAUGGCAAGCUAAAAAUGAAACACAAUACUCUCAUAGGUAAUUGGAGUACCAAAAGUCCCCAUCAAUUUUAAGUACAGUAACUUCUACUGCAAAAUCUAUUCUUUGUCCCCAAAUCAGACUAAAGAUUACAUAUAAAAACAAAGUGAGAUUGUGCUAUAUACAAAUUUCCCCAAUGAUGACACCACAAAAUGGCAAAAUGAAAAAUAUUUAAUACACAAAAAAAGCAAACAGAAUCAACUGGUAUUAAGGGCCUUUCAUAGUGCAAAAACCAGAAAGAUACAGAGUCAUUAACUUAUUGGUGCUUAAAACUAGGCAAAAACAUGUGAAAAUGUCUCCUUUCCUUAGUGAGCUGGGGACUAUUCAAAAAGUUAUUUACAUUGCUUUUUUCCUGCCCACUUUAUGAAACCAUAUUUGCUGCACUCCUGUUGAUUAUGCUUACCUGAUCAGAUAUGUUAUUUGGGAAACUGCAUGUUUUCUGUAUAGUGACAGUGCAUUUUAGGCAACCUACUCAAGUGCAUGCAGAAAAUUUUUGUCCAUCCAGACCACAACAGAGCACUUCUACUAUCCAAAUUUACACACACUUCUCUCAGAACCUAGAAACAGAAUUCUUUUCUAGUCAAGAGCUUCAGAGCAAGGAAAGGCUAUAUGAGUCAGAGGCGCAGGUACAAGGAAGCAACAUAGGCUCUGCUAGGCAGGCACUUGAGGGGAGCUUGUGCUCACUUUCCAGGACAUGAGGUAUUCUGAAUAUAUACCCCAGAGCUUGGUAGAGCCAUUUUUUUUAACAUGUCAUUCAAGGCAGUGUAUAUAGGUUAAGCUGCUCCAGCAUCCUUAGUUUCCAUAACAAACUAUGAGGUAGAAAGCGUAGUUAUGUGUGUUCUGUUAAAAGGUAAGAAAAAUGUCAAGAGUGGGACAGACGGUGGAAGGGCCUUACCCCUUUAUCCCUAUCCAAGGGACUUAACAGUGCCUUGCUACAGACUAUGGACAAAGUCCUAGGCAGAGGCUGCUUAGAAUUUCUACCUUGCCAAAGUGCCAAGGAACCCAGAAACAUUUCAUUCCCCUUUUAAAACCUUUUCUAUUAUUUUUAAAAGGAGGAAGGAAAAAUAUGAGAGGAGACAUUUUAUAAGGAAGUGAAAAACAAGGCAAAUUAUGGGGGGGAGGGGAUGAAGAGCCUCCUGUAGGAAGAGGGAAGGCUGCCCUCAGUUUCUUAGUGCUGAGACAAUAGGGGUGCUCUUUCCCGUUUCUCAUCAUGGACACAAAGGAAGCCUCAACUACAAGCUGUUUUUUAUUAGAUAGUAGCUCUGAUGUCACAGCUUCUCUUCCUUAUCCACCACCUACCUCCGCUAAAGAAAAAAAUUCCCCAGAACUGACUGGAACAGAGGAAUCUUAUCCAAAGAUACUAUGGUUGCAGCAACCCAAGGGAUGAUACAGAAGGCCUCUGAUAUAAAAGUAAUAUCCAGAAGUAGAUCACUUUGAACUCUGAGGAAAAAAGAGCAACAAAAAGGGAAGAAGGAAAAAAGGAGAAAUCUAUGACAUUAGUUACUGUUAAAAAAAAUGCCUUGGGAUAAGACAUUAGGUGCUCUAAUAAAUUGUCAGUGUCAUAGGGAUGUCAAUUUUCAAGAAAGCAUUUGCCAAAUUAUAGCAACUAUUCUGAGAAAGGAAUUGCUCUGACAGCACUAUUUGACCCUUUUUAAGAUCCCUGACCCAUUCUACCCCCCAAGAAAUGAGGACUACGCCUUGUUGCCCUAUGCUCCCAGAUGACACUGAAUAUGGAUCCAGGGUGAAGAAAAACAAUCUGCAGGAGAAGCAGCAUGGAGGACUUCAGAUAAGCUACCCAGAAGUAUCAGCUACCUAUGUCUGCAGACACACAAAUCUGCAACAUUUUCAGUCAUUUGAAAAGCUCUGAUACAGGCACAGUAAACCCAAGGGGUUCUUAAUAUUCUAUUUUCUUUAACAAUGCCACAUUUGCCAACAAUGACGUUACUUGGGAUUGCACAUUCCUUCUAUCGAAAGAUCUCAGAAUGCUGGGGGGACCCGCUCCCAUAGGAGAGAAGAGAUCUGGUGGCUCCUUUAAAGGAAAACUGUAGCAAUGGUGACCAAGGAAAGCACUGUCCACUGAUAGGACAUAUCAGAGCAAUCUGGAAAAAGUGUUCUCAAAUUAGAUCAGGGGGUCACCUGAACCACUAUCUCAGACACUUUCAGUUUAGCUUUAGAGCCUCAGUAUCUCUCCUCAUAUGCUAAACGGCAACUGUACUAAUCACCAUCUGGGAGUUUCCAGCAAAGUAACCUCAACAUACCCUAUGGCAGUGCAAAAUUCCACACAUUUGUAAACACUGUACUUAUUGCUUUUGGCACAGGGAAGAGCUUAUAGGUUCUUUAUCUUUGAAGUGAAAGUUCAAAACAUAGCUAGUUCCUAUUCUAUAGCCACUUUCAGCAAAGGCAUUAGCAGUCUUGAUACUAUAUGUGCAUAAUAUAUACCCAUGAAUGAAGAGAACCAUCAAAAUAAGUUUUUCUUUAGGAUGCCAAUCAACAAUUUAAAUGGAUACUUGGCUAAAAGGAAAACAAUGGCUUCACAGUAUCUAAAGGCAUGUACUUUCAGAAGUUCACAUGACUCUGUGGGAAAAAAAAACAAAUAUCUGGUUAAGAAGUUUCCUCCUUUCUAAAGAGAACCAAGAGAUAACGCUACGAUAGUUUCGUAGAAUCCAAGAUCUAACAUUCAUCGAUUUCUCAUCAAUGACUGUUCAAAGGAGCCAACAAUGCACUGAAUUAACAUUUACAAAAAAAUGUUACAAAUGAUCCUGACCUUUAAAAAUAAAUUCUUACAAACAACACAAUGUUCCACAAAGCAUUAUAUACACCUAAGUAUACAUAAAUUAUUAUUAAAACAACUACAUAUUUCAAAUGCUUGGCAGUGAUUUCAUCUUAUAUUAGAAAAGUUCAUGGCAGUUUGUAAGCUGGCUCGGCAGACACAGACCCAUUGGUUCAAGCCUAGGAUUGUGAAUCUUUGCUAUUUCAUAGGUGGACUGUGGGGAAAUGGCAAUAUGCAGCUGAAGGCUUCGUCUUAAGAUUUUCAUAAAGUCUGAUUUAAGUAUUUAACACAAAAGCAUAGCAAAUAUUAUACGUAUGGUGCAAGUACAGUAACUCAUUCAUUAACUCAAUGAGACAGGAGACAUUUUUGGUAUAACCUAGAAAUUCAUGGUUUUUCUAAGGAUUUGUCAUUUUUGCUGAGCUUUCUGUCCAGGAUAACAUGGUCAUACAUAUUAAAUGGCAAUUAAAAUAAGAAAUUUGGUGCUAGAGCACCUGGCUGGCUCAGUCAGUAGAGUAUGAGUCUCUUGAUCUCAAGCUCCACGCUGGGCGUAGAGAUUUACUUUAAAAAAAAAAAAAAAAA
rnacentral:lncRNA from 1 species